rnacentral:rRNA from 1 species
CCUACGGGGAGCAGCAGUGGGGGAUAUUGCACAAUGGAGGGAACUCUGAUGCAGCGACGCCGCGUGAGGGAAGAAGUUUUUCGGAUUGUAAACCUCUGUCUUCGGUGACGAAACGAGACGGUAGCCGAGGAGGAAGCCACGGCUAACGACGUGCCAGCAGCCGCGGUAAUACGUAGGUGGCAAGCGUUGUCCGGAAUUACUGGGGGAAAAGGGAGCGUAGGCGGGAAAGCAAGUUGAAGUGUUAAGCUACGGGCUAAACCUGUACAAGCGUUCAAAACUGUUUUUCUGGAGUGGAGUAGAGGUAAGCGGAAUUCCUGGUGUAGCGGUGAAAUGCGUAAAUAUUAGGAGGAACACCAGCGGCGAAGGCGGCUUGCUGGACUUUAACUGACGCUGAGGCUCGAAAGCGUGGGUAGCAAACAGGAUUAGAUACCCCAGUAGUC